rnacentral:rRNA from 1 species
UACGAAGGUCCCGAGCGUUGUUCGGAAUCACUGGGCGUAAAGGGAGCGUAGGCGGCGUGGUAAGUCAGAUGUGAAAUCCCGGGGCUCAACCCCGGAACUGCAUCCGAUACUGCCGUGCUUGAGGGUUGGAGAGGUAGCUGGAAUUAUCGGUGUAGCAGUGAAAUGCGUGGAUAUCAGGAGGAACACCAAUUGCGAAGGCAGCUCGCUGGGACGUUACUGACGCUGAGACGCGAAAGCGUGGGGAGCAAACAGG